rnacentral:lncRNA from 1 species
GCAUGGUUGUUCACGGUUUUUCACCUCAUAAUUGAAUGAAAGAACACAUUUCCUUUUUCUUUUCAUUUUGGUGUAAAAGCUUUAGAUUUAUUUUGAGUUUCUUCUUGUAGUCACGGUGGGGACACUUCAUUGAAUAUAAAAAGCACAUUUUCUUUUUGUUUGGAUGCUUUAAUGCAAGUGUGUUGCCUUUCUUCCACUUUGAUUGCUUUGAUUGAGGAGAGGUAUCGUGAGUUGGUAAAGGUUAGAUGGGAUGGGUCACUUGCAUUGAUUUUCGGUAGAAUGAAGAUGGUUAACUUUUGAAUGGAUGUUUAGGAAAUGGAUUAGGAAUUUACAGUCCACAUGGUUGAAU